rnacentral:rRNA from 1 species
CGGGAAUUUUGGGCAAUGGGCGAAAGCCUGACCCAGCAACGCCGCGUGAGGGAUGAAGUAUUUCGGUAUGUAAACCUCGAAAGAAUGGGAAGAAUAAAUGACGGUACCAUUUAUAAGCUCCGGCUAACUACGUGCCAGCAGCCGCGGUAAUACGUAGGGAGCAAGCGUUGUUCGGAUUUACUGGGCGUAAAGGGCGCGUAGGCGGCGCGGUAAGUCACUUGUGAAAUCUCUGAGCUUAACUCAGAACGGCCAAGUGAUACUGCUGCGCUAGAGUGCGGAAGAGGCAACCGGAAUUCUUGGUGUAGCGGUGAAAUGCGUAGAUAUCAAGAGGAACACCUGAGGCGAAGGCGGGUUGCUGGGCCGACACUGACGCUGAUGCGCGAAAGCCAGGGGAGCAAACG